CAAAAUGUAGCUUAAUUCCAAAGCUCUUCGCUUACACCGAAGCUAUGUCUGAGAAACCCAAACCAUUUUGAG
rnacentral:tRNA from 1 species